AGGAGUGGAGCCUGCGGCUUAAUUUGACUCAACACGGGAAACCUCACCAGGCCCGGACACCGGAAGGAUUGACAGAUUGAGAGCUCUUUCUUGAUUCGGUGGGUGGUGGUGCAUGGCCGUUCUUAGUUGGUGGUGUGAAUUGUCUGGUUAAUUCCGUUAACGAACGAGACUCUAGCCAGCUAAAUAGGCGUUAUUCCGGUAUCCUGAAGGCUCGUGUCUCUCGUUUUCUGGCGUGUCUUUUUUGUUAUGUAUUACCGUCUAGGCGGUAUGCAUGGCAUUGGGAUGCGUUCAGUGCGGGAGUUCACGGUUUUUACUACCGGCGUACAUAAUAAAUCUUCUUAGAGGGACAGGCGGCUUCUAGCCGCACGAGAAUGAGCAAUAACAGGUCUGUAAUGCCCUUAGAUGUUCUGGGCCG
rnacentral:rRNA from 1 species